rnacentral:lncRNA from 1 species
AUACAAGAAGUCACUGAGAUAUGUUUGUACAAUGGAUGGGAAUUUGGCUUUCUGUCUUCAUGGAAGAACUUGGCCUCCUUUUUCCUCUUCCCUCUUUCAUCCACGGAAACAGUAUUUAGAAGAGCACAGAUUCAGCGUUGUGGUUGUGCCGUCACCAUUUCCAUGUAUGAAGAGAUGGCCCGCAUCAGUUCUGUGACGUGCCCAAAAUCACACGAAGCGAGUUAAUCACAGACCCAGAUUUUCUCAUUCGCAGUAUGCUGCAUACUUGUCCAUACUAAAUUAUCUUUAAACAGUGACAAACAUUUAAAAGCAGAUUUGGGAGCCACCUGUUUUGCUGUGGAGCCUGGAAGGCUGAUUCAUAAGGAAUUUCAAAUAAUGGCAGUGACCAUGGCCUCAUUAGCCAGCUUGGUCCCCCUCAGUAUGACGAAGAAACUGGACUGAGAGAAGAACCCCAGGUUGAAGAGAACUCUCUGUGUUCUGCACACCUGUGCUGCCGAAAAUACAGACACCAGUGAGGCCCUAAAGAGAGUAAGCGAACCAGGAAGAGAAAAAAAUCACACAGAUGAAUCCUCGCAGCCUGAAGGGCAUUUGGCACAGAAGGUGUCUCAAAAAGUCAGCUGAGGGAACAUCCAGAUGUCACGCAAAAGGAUGUUUUCUCCUGAAUGAAGACUUACGAUAUAGAU